rnacentral:rRNA from 1 species
CAGUCCCGCGGUAAUACGUAGGGUGCAAGCGUUAAUCGGAAUUACUGGGCGUAAAGCGUGCGCAGGCGGUGUUGUAAGACUGAUGUGAAAUCCCCGGGCUCAACCUGGGAACUGCAUUGGUGACUGCAGCGCUGGAGUGCGGCAGAGGGGGAUGGAAUUCCGCGUGUAGCAGUGAAAUGCGUAGAUAUGCGGAGGAACACCGAUGGCGAAGGCAAUCCCCUGGGCCUGCACUGACGCUCAUGCACGAAAGCGUGGGGAGCAAACAGGAUUAGAUACCCGAGUAGUCCCUGUCUCUUAUACA